AACCCUAUCGGGCUUUAACUAUUAUUCACUGAAACCCUCUCGGCAGGAUAAACCCCCCUCCGCUUUCCAUUUCUUCUCUGAAAUUUUACUCUCAACCGACCAAGAACAAAUGGCAAUCUCUGCCGCAUCUGCAGCGGCCAGAUCCAUUUUCCGAUCAUCUUCAGUCCGCAAUGCCGCCGCUCGUGUCACCUCCAAAGCCAAGCCAUCUCGUUCCCCCUUCUCUUCGCCUUCACGUACCCCCCUGUCUCAUCGAGUUUUCGGGUCACCGGUGGAAAUGAGUGCUUGUGUAGAGUCGAUUCAGCCAUACCACACCGCCACUGCAUCGGCUUUGAUGACUUCGCUGCUCACCGUCUCUCGUUGCAGCUACGCUUGGCUUCCUGAAGGUUUCUAGCAACAUCUUCUAGGAUCCUCCUUUAUGUCUUUUUCCUUGAUUUUGAUUUCUGCUUGCAACGAUGAUGUAUGAUCAGUGUUCUUCUAUCCUGCAAGGCAUUCAAGAAAAGCUUCUUCAUCACAAUCUCUGGCUUCUGGAUGGGUGAUGGCAAAUCACCUAAUGAGAGAUGCCAGUUAUAUGUUAUCUAGUGUUUUUUCCCUCUGCUUCUACUGGCCUUUAUCCAUUUAGAUGCAGCAUUGGUUAAAGGAGUAAUUAUAUGUUUCUUGCACAUAAGCAUGUAUUAAACAUACGCGAGCUUUACAAUAGAUUAUUGACGAGUUAUGCCUUAAAUUGGUCAAGGGUCAAGGUGGCUGUUACAUAUGUGACUGGCAGAGGAUAUAUUGACAUUUGGAUUGACAAUUAGAAGUUUCAUGAUGAUAAAUAGUGUCUCUUAUAUAGUUUGGUUGGUUUUGGUAUUAAAUGACAAUCUAUGUGGU